UACAGAGGUCUCAAGCGUUGUUCGGAUUCAUUGGGCGUAAAGGGUGCGUAGGCGGCGCGGUAAGUCGGAUGUGAAAUCUCGGAGCUUAACUCCGAAACUGCAUUCGAUACUGCCGUGCUUGAGGACUGGAGAGGAGACUGGAAUUUACGGUGUAGCAGUGAAAUGCGUAGAUAUCGUGAGGAAGACCAGUGGCGAAGGCGGGUCUCUGGACAGUUCCUGACGCUGAGGCGCGAAGGCCAGGGGAGCAAACGGG
rnacentral:rRNA from 1 species